rnacentral:rRNA from 1 species
UACGUAGGGGGCAAGCGUUGUCCGGAAUUAUUGGGCGUAAAGAGCGCGUAGGCGGUCCGAUAAGUCGGCUGUGAAAGUCAGGGGCUCAACCCUUGAAAGCCGGCCGAUACUGUCGGACUAGAGUCCGGAAGAGGCAAGUGGAAUUCCCGGUGUAGCGGUGAAAUGCGCAGAUAUCGGGAGGAACACCAAUGGCGAAGGCAGAUCUCUGGGCCGUAACUGACGCUGAGGAGCGAAAGCAUGGGGAGCGAACAGG